rnacentral:lncRNA from 1 species
UAUACAAAAUGUACUAAUAUUAUUCUCACUUUACAUGGGGCUUGCAAAACUUAAGUUUAAAAACUUUGGCUUUAAUAGCUCAAAAAUUUUGAUGAUUGUGAGAGUGAAAACUUUGAUCUAGACUUUUUAGGCAAUCAGUGACUUGGCCUUAUUUCUGACAAAAGAAGAAGGAGAGGAUAAAAUUUGGGAGUGGUCUGAGGCAGUAUGUUCUUGGAGAAGAGGACAUUUGAGUGAUUCAUGCAUGUGAAAAGGAGGGACACAGAACUCUGGAGAGGUGUGUUCCUCCUGGUACUUAAAAUUAGACCUGAGAUCUAAUCCUAGCAUCAUUCAUUAGUACCUAGUC